UUGAGGCUUGUAUGAGGAUUUUAUAAUUAAAUAUUUUCUAUAUUUAUUUACUUGAAAUUGUAGUUAAAAUUAAAAUAUUUUAAUUUUUUAAGUAGACGAUAAGACCCUAAAAGCUUUAUUUUAAAAGGCUUUUAAAUUUUUUAUAUAAUAUUUGAAAUACUUAAAAAAUUUAACUGGGGUAGUUUUGUUUUAGUUUUAAAUUAAUUUAAAACUAAAAGUUUUAAGAACCUUGUUAUCAGGGUGUUUGUUUAAGUUACUUUAGGGAUAACAGCGUAAUAGUUUUGGAAAGUUCAUAUUUAUAGAAUUGUUUGCGACCUCGAUGUUGAAUUAGUAAAUCUUUAUAAAGCAGUAUUUAUAUAAGAUGGUUUGUUCAACCAUUAAAUUACUACAUGAUUU
rnacentral:rRNA from 1 species